UACAGAGGUCUCAAGCGUUGUUCGGAUUCAUUGGGCGUAAAGGGCGCGUAGGCUGCGGGGCAAGUCGGGUGUGAAAUCUCGGAGCUUAACUCCGAAACUGCAUUCGAUACUGCCGUGCUUGAGGACUGGAGAGGAGACUGGAAUUUACGGUGUAGCGGUGAAAUGCGUAGAUAUCGUAAGGAAGACCAGUGGCGAAGGCGGGUCUCUGGACAGUUCCUGACGCUGUGGCACGAAGGCCAGGGGAGCAAACGGG
rnacentral:rRNA from 1 species